CCGUUUAUGCAAUGAGUGCAUUUUCUCAUGGUCCUGAUUUGACUUCCCACAGACGAGACUUAAGUGUAUCUGCAAUAUCCCAGUGAAUCAUCAAAAUAAGCCUGUCACAGAGAAACGGCGAUACCAGAUGUAAUACCUCUUGAGAUAUAACUCUGCUGGUGUGAGUCUUCACCUAGAAGCCUCUAGAAAUGGAGCGGCUCAACCCCGGAUGACACUAAUAACCAGCCAAACACCCUGCAAAUUGGAGCAGGGUGAGGAAGGUGACCGCAGACACUUCUGAAGAGAAAAGCGUUACCCUGCCUUGUUCCCGGGUGCCCGCAUCUGUCCAGCAGCACGGUGGUGAAGCAACUUUGUACUUUGUCUCAGCCCUAGUUCUCCUGGUUUGGUACAACUGGACAUAUUUGGAAGACCUCCAUUCUUCUUCCUUUGUCCUACCCAGCUACCUGAUAUCGUCUGGAAAUAAAGCUAAGAGGCAGGAUUGGUCUCAAGGUAUGUUAGCGAAGUAGAAGACAAAAGUAUUACUGUUUUGUCAUGUAUAUGAUGUCAAGCUGUAAAGCCUCUGAAACGUAUGAAGGGUGGUCUACGGGUUAAGACACCUUUGCUGUGAAAGAUCCAGGUUAGGCCUCAGAAGGGAGGGCAGUGGGAAGCGACCCUCUGCGGCUGUGGACAGGCAAGGUCGUGGCAGUGAUUAAAAAAAAAAAAUUGUUGUACGUAAUGACAAUCCAGAUAUGCCCACUGGAAAUUCUUUAAGGUAAGUUUUUUCUUUAUUUCUCUCCUCGCAUUGUAACCUGAGUCUGAGUGACAUAUAAGGCUUCAUGCAGUUCAGUCAUCAGACUUUAUCUGCCUUCUCUGGAUGCUUUCUUGGUCAUAGCAGCCACUGAAGCUCUAUCCUUAAGGGCUCUGAUUCUCAUAUUAAUAUAACUCAGUGAUUA
rnacentral:lncRNA from 1 species